rnacentral:rRNA from 1 species
UAUUGCUCUUUAACGAGGAAUCCCUAGUAAGUACAAGUCACUAGCUUGUGCUGAUUACGUCCCUGCCCUUUGUACACACCGCCCGCCGCUACUACCGAUUGAAUGGCUUAGUGAGGCCCUCGGAUUGAGGCUCGGAGACUGGCAACAGACUCUUGGUUUUGAAAAGUUGGUCAAACUUGGUCAUUUAGAGUAAGUAAAAGUCGUAACAAGGUUUCCGUAGGUGAACCUGCGGAAGGAUCAUUACCAAUUUUUAGCGGACCUGGUCUUUGAUCAUGGUCUCGCGAAAACUUGUAUUUAAAACCCCACUCUUAUAAAUUGAAUCAUUUACUAUUUAUAUAAUAAAUAAAGAUCACUUUCAACAACGGAUCUCUUGGCUCUCGCAUCGAUAAAGAACGUAGCGAAGUGCGAUAAGUAAUGUGAAUUGCAGAAUUCCGUGAAUCAUCGAAUCUUUGAACGCAAAUUGCACUCUCUGGCAACCCGGGGAGUAUGCCUGUUUGAGGGUCAGUAUUAAUAAAAAUCGGUGCGUUGCAAAUUUUUGUGACGUUUUCCGGAGUUGAGUUAUCUUAACUUCGGUUUUAAGAGGCUUAAAAUUGACCUUUUUUUGUGCAUUUUAGACGUACAUAAAUCUUUUUUUUAUUCGUCUAUCCUAAUGCCAAAAUCUAUUAGAUGCGACCAUAUCUUGUGGUUCCCGUGUCUAUAAUUUUUUCAUGAUUUGACCUCAAAUCAGGUAGGGAUACCCGCUGAACUUAAGCAUAUCAAUAAGCGGAGGAAAAGAAAUAACAAUGAUUCCCCUAGUAACUGCGAGUGAAGAGGGGACAGCUCAAAUUUUAAUCUGUCGGGUUUUUUCCUGACGAGUUGUAAUUUGGAAGAAGCGGUUUUCUGCGCUGUUUUGAUCAGCCCAAGUUCCUAUUUGGAAUGGAGGCAUCAAUGGGAAGGGUGGGAUAAUUCCCGUCCGGGAUUGAAUCAUGUGCCUCUACGAUACGGCUUCCAAGAGUCAGGUUUUUGGAUUGCAGCUUAAAUGGGAGGUAACUUUCUCUAAGGCCUAAAUAUACGG